GGGCCAGACUCCUACGGGAGGCAGCAGUGGGGAAUAUUGCACAAUGGGGGAAACCCUGAUGCAGCGACGCCGCGUGAGCGAUGAAGUAUUUCGGUAUGUAAAUCUCUAUCAGCAGGGAAGAAAAUGACGGUACCUGACUAAGAAGCCCCGGCUAACUACGUGCCAGCAGCCGCGGUAAUACGUAGGGGGCAAGCGUUAUCCGGAUUUACUGGGUGUAAAGGGAGCGUAGACGGCAAUGCAAGCCAGAUGUGAAAGCCCGGGGCCCAACCCCGGGACUGCUCUUGGAACUGCAUGGCUGGAGUACAGGAGGGGCAGGCGGAAUUCCUAGUGUAGCGGUGAAAUGCGUAGAUAUUAGGAGGAACACCAGUGGCGAAGGCGGCCUGCUGGACUGCAACUGACGUUGAGGCUCGAAGGCGUGGGGAGCAAACAGGAUUAGAUACCCGAGUAGC
rnacentral:rRNA from 1 species